CACGCAGCUUUGCUCCUAGCGCUGAGAACUGAUGAGUAGGUCACCUUAGCGGCUGGUUCCUUUGGCUUCUUCUCCACCUUCUUUGGUGGCACAACUACUUCAGCGUGUUUGGUCUGUUGUGGCUGCUUAAGCUUGAUCACAAGGUUUUUCUUGGGAACCGCCUUUUGAGCUUCUUGGUUCUUGUUUCUUGGAGCAAGAGGGUGUGGCUUCUUUUCGCAAUUGAUUGGCUUCUGGGCGUUGGCUAGCAGCUGAGCGCGGAAGCUUCGGGUGAUGGGACGGUUGAUCGGAGGCUGAGGCUUCCCUCCUUGAGCCACGGGAACGGAAACAAGGUUGUUUCCGAUGUCACCGAGCGGGCGGCGAUUCUUCACGGCGCCGUUCUUGUUAACACCUGAGAAGAAGAAACACAUAUGUUGAUAAUCUGAUCUUCGAUUCAUAACCACAAUCAAAUCAAUUCAGAUAUUUUCAAAACCCCGAUCGGAUCUAAAUCAAACGAAACCCAGAUUCGAUUUAAACUGCGAUGAAUUUCAAUUUCAACUUCAAUUUCAAAUCAAACAAACACAGAUUAAAACUCAGAUCGAUCGAAAUCAACGAAAAACAAAAAGACGGCGAAUAACAAUACCUCUGACUUGUUCAGGCAUGUUGGUUCUCGUCGCCAUUCUUGAUCUUUGGACUUGAUUUUCUCUCUUGGUGAAGAAGAGUUUGUGAGAACUGAGAGAUUCUGAUGGGAGAGAGCGUCUUCUUAUGAAGGAGGAGCCAACGGCUCGCUUCCAACGGUCAUAUUUUUGGUCAUCUUUUAUUUCUCGCCGUUGGAUCAUUAGGUUUUUAGAUCUGACGGUUGAUAAACAAUCAACGAUACUGUAAUGCGCUGGCACCGGGCCGUUGGGCUGUGUUAUUAAAAAGCCCAUUUCAAGGCCCAAAGAAUGUAUAUGAACCCUAACUAACCAGAGAGUCGUAUCGUCUUCUAUAAUCGCUUAAACCCUAACCGCCACCAUCUUCCCCUUCCUCUUCCCUUUUCAAUUUUCAAGUUUCUUGCUGCAACAAUGGAGGAUGAGCUUAGAGUUCGACUCAACGAUCACCAACCAUCGAAGAUCUUCCCAGUGAAGCCCAAAUCAACUCCCAGACCCCUCUCCAAACCCGAAACCCCCGAUUCUCGAUACUGGUCCUCCUUCAAACCCCACUCAAUCCCCAACCUCGUAUCCUCCGUCUCCGCCGUCGCCUUCUCUCCGAUCCACCCCCACUCCUUCGCCGUCGCUCACUCCACCACCGUCUCCCUCUUCUCCUCCAACACGCUAACCGCCUCGCGCCGCUUCUCCUUCAAAGACGUCGUCUCCUCCGUCUCCUUCCGCUCCGACGGAGCCCUCCUCGCAGCCUCCGACCUCUCCGGGACUGUCCAGGUCUUCGACGUCAAGGAGCGGAUGGCUCUCCGCAGCCUCCGCUCCCACAAGGCGGCGGCGAGGUUCGUGAAGUACCCCGUCCACGACAAGCUCCACCUGGUGUCGGGAGGAGACGACGGAGUCGUCAAGUACUGGGACGUCGCCGGGGGCACGGUUAUCUCCGAUCUAAUCGGACAUAAAGAUUACGUUCGGUGCGGAGACUGCUCUCCGGUGAACGAUUCGAUGUUCGCUACGGGGGCUUACGAUCAUACCAUCAAGGUGUGGGACGCGAGAGUGGGGAAUUCGAAAUGGAUAGCUGAGAUCAACCACGGGGCACCUGUGGAGGAUAUUGUGUAUUUGCCGUCUGGUGGUAUGAUCGCGACGGCUGGAUUGAACAGCGUGAAAGUGUGGGACUUGAUCGGAGGAGGGAGGAUGGUUUGUUCCAUGGAGAGUCAUAACAAGACGGUGACGUGUCUCUCCGUGGGGAGGAUGGGGUUGGAAGGGGAGAAUAGGCUUGUGAGCGUUGCGUUAGACGGUUACAUGAAGGUGUUUGAUUACGGGAGGGGGAAGGUUACUUACUCCAUGAGGUUUCCAGCUCCUUUAAUGUCCGUUGGGCUCUCUCCGGAUAGUUCGGUUCGUGUUGUUGGAGGUUCUAACGGUAUGGUGUUUGCUGGGAAGAAGAAGAAGAAGGUGAGAGAUGAGGAGGAGAAGAAGAAAGCUAGCGUGAUGACGAGUUUUUGGAGUUUUAAGAGCGAAGUGGAUGAGAGUAGGAGAAGGGCGUUGAGGCCGAGUUACUUCAGGUAUUUCCAGAGAGGGCAGAGCGAGAAGCCGUCGAAAGAUGAUUACUUGGUGAAGGAGAGGAAAGGAGUGAAGCUGACGAGGCACGAUAAGCUGUUGAAGAAGUUCAGGCAUAAGGAGGCUUUGGUCUCUGUUUUGGAGGAGAAGAAGCCGGCCGACGUGGUGGCGGUGAUGGAGGAGUUGGUGGCGAGGAGGAAGAUUGUCAAGUGCGUGUCGAAUUUGGAGGAAGGUGAGUUGGGAUUGCUGCUCAGUUUCUUGCAGAGGUACUGUACCGUGGAGAGGUAUUCGAAACUGUUGAUGGCGUUGACGAAGAAGGUUUUGGAGACUAGAGGUGAGGAUAUUAACGGUAAAGAGGAGUUUAAAGGGAUUCUGAGGAACCUGAAGAGGGAGGUGAAUCAGGAGAUUAAGAUUCAACAGUCUCUGUUGGAGAUUCAGGGUGUUAUUGCUCCUUUGAUGAGAAUUGCUGGGAGAUGAUUAAUCAAAUGUAAGCUUUUUGGAUGCUUUGUUUUAUUGUAAUGCUAUUAUUCUAGAUUAUAUUUCAAGUUUUGUUUUAUUUCAAUUGCUGGGAGAUGAUGAAAGAAUCAAUGCAAGUUUUGUUUGCUUCUUUUGCUUUGUUUUUAUGUUAAUGCUGCUGCUACUCAGUUUUUAACUAUUUAUUCACGGUUUACACAAAUUCUAUAAUGAAAUUCUACAAAACUAAACAUGGGAACAAAUGAAUCUCUUUGGAAAUGAGAAACAAUUAGAGAAAAAAUAUUAUAUACUUUGGUAAAUGUAAGUGAUCAAAAAUGUCAAAUUGUGAGAAUCAUCAUCUGAAAUUUAUAUAACUCAAGAAUUCUCUUUUGUAACGAUUUUAUAUCCUUGAUUUGUAAUGGUCAAUCGAAUAACAAAUCAAAGGUUUGAGUUUAUUUAAAAGACAAUACUUGACAAAUGGUCUGAUAUUAUAAAGAAGAAAGGUAAGUCUGAUGAGGCCUCUAGCACAUUCCUGAAUGUGAACAAUCAGAUGAGACCUUGACGUUUAAGAUCAGAGUAAGUCUUCUUGUUGUAAACGUUACCAUCACCAUCUUCAUAUUCUUCUUCAACCUCUGGCUUCCAUUUGUUAACUCCUUGCCUCUCCUGUAUCCUCUUCCACAGUUCUUUCGCUUCCUGCAACAAAUCACAAGAUCAAAAUUACCAAAACUAUUGCUUUAAACUAAAUCAAAGUCUUCUUCUUUUGAUAAUAAUAACAAUGUAUACCUUAAUAGAAGUGAUCUCGUUGAAGUUCUUUGUGUUUGGGAUCCCCAAGCAACGCAUUCCAUCUUGGUGUUGAGGCUCUUUAAAAUGUCUCUCAAAAGCCCUUCUCCCCUUGUAGAUUUUGUUUCUACAUAUCUCGCAUUCAAAUUUCUACACCAAAAUAACAACACACAAAUUUUGAGUAGUCCCAUAUAAGUAUUAUUAUAACAUUGAUGGUCUAAUAAACUCGACUACAUACCUGGCCAAGGCCAUGAAGCUUGUAGAGCCAGUAUGGUAUAGGCUUCCCGUCCACACCCAUUGGCAGGUUCAGUGGAUUGUGAAAGGCACCUUCCUCCUCUUCAUCACUUUCUAUCUCUGCCCGUCCUUCCUCCCCCUUGCGUUCUUCCUCCAUCUCUUCAUACGUCAUGGCCUGCUUCUUUACAAUGUUUUGCUUAGUCCUUUCGAUUGCCUAUUCAAAAUUUCAGACAACAAACAAAGUUAAAAUGUCAGCUCUUAGGGAGAAAACAAUAGAUGUAUCAAAGAGGUACUUCCACGAACUAACCUCAUCAAGUAAGUUGCAGAGCUUCUUCACUUUGGCCUCUGUUAGUGCAAUCUGUUUAGCACUGUCUGGCUCCUGCGUUGCUUUGGCAUCUCCAUUUUGUCUCCCUUUGUGCAGAGGUUUGGCAAAAUGUUUCUUAUCCAGCUUUUCCAGAGGCGAAUGCUGAACAUAAACAGAAUCAAUAAAUGGCAUAAGAUAACAUCAACUUGAUAACAAGACAGAGCUACUAAUCAGUACAACGCAAAACUAAAUAAAAACAAUGCGUUUCUAGGAGAUCAAGACAAGUGUACGAACCUUUGUGAGGAAAAGUCUCUCGGCACGCUGCUGCAGUGUACCACCAACUUUAAGUCCCAAAGACCCCAGCGCCUGAAUCACAUAAAACACAUAAUUAGAGGAAUAAUUCUUCAGUGAUCAUAAAAAACAUGAAGCAUGGUCAUUACCUCCUUCAGCUUUUCAGGUCCCACACCAGUCAAUUCAUCAGCUGUGGUGUAGUAACCAAGAUCUAUGACAGUAUGCUCAGAUGGAACAAGUUUACUUUCCUGGCCGUGGCUCUCCCAGCCUAUCACUUUUCCAUCUGCAAAUUGCUCUUCAAAAUCAACCUCAACCUGUAAGAAACCAACGUAUUAAUUGCAAGAGAUCAAACUGCAUAAAACAAUAAAGAGAGGGAGGAGAGUUUAAACCUUGGAAAGCAUUCUGUCAAGGUCUUGCAACGGCUCAGUUCGGUGGAGAAAGUUGACCAAGUACUCUAGCAGAGCUUCCAUGUACUUCAUGUAUUGCCUAAAAGGACAACAAGGAAAGCCAUUAACAUACAGGUACUAGAAACAAAUAUGGAGGCUUUUUAAGUAUAUAACAAAAUUUCAAUGUAAUGUUUACCUUGAAAACUUCAGUCUGCGAGGUACUUUCUCUGGAUGAGAAAAGACAUCGAGGUAAACAGAAUAUUCAACCCUGUCCCCGAAUUUAGAGUUGAUGUACUGGUUAUACAUAUCAUGCAAGUCCAAGUACCGACCAGCUCCUUCCUGCACAGUACACAAAGAAGAUUUAAACAAUUUUAGAAAUUCUAUAAACUACCAUGAAGCUAGUAAUGUUAAAAAAAAAAAAACGGACUAAUAAUGCUCUGUUAAAAUGUUUCAAGAAUAAGAAGUCAAACAGAAAAAUUACCUCUCCACUGAAGGAAAUAACUGGUUUCGCCUUCAGAAGUGCUUCGUAGUCCGCGCUGGCAUCAACAAGAGGUCCAGGAGGAUACUUUCUAUGGUACUCACGUAUCUGUAAGAAGGUAAAAAAGAUAGGGGUUAAUUAGUUGCAUAUCUGAUAGAAUAAAUACCAAGGAUUCAGUUGAUAAACAAUCUAUUCAAGAAGACCUCUACGAAACAUCAAAACUAGAAAUUUGAAUCUUAUUCAGGGUUUGCACUCUACUUCGCUGAAAUAUAUGAACAUGGUUCUUAACUCUCUAUGACCAGUGGAUUAAGAUAAUCAAUGAAAUUAUAAUUAACAGGUUGCUAAAUCUCUCAUUCUCGAUUAACCGAUACUAUUCAAAAUUCAGCUACUCUAUUUUAGAAACAAACAAUGGUAACUUUUGAGAAAUAAAAAUAAAAAAGGCAAAAGGGAUAGAAAGCAAAACCUCUUUCAAACGAUCAUAAAACGCACAGUACACAUUAACCCCUGACGCAGUCCGGCCACCAAGCGCAGCAAUCUCAUCUUCCCUAGCUCCAUCCUUAUCUUCAUAAGUUUCAACCUUUACAGCCAACACAAGAAUCAACGUUAGCUUUAAUAUCUAAAGAUACGAAACUACACAGUCAUUAAAAAAAAAGCCUAAAGUGGCCUCUAUGAUGAUUGUACCUUAGCGGCUGGUUCCUUUGGCUUCUUCUCCACCUUCUUUGGUGGCACAACUACUUCAGCGUGUUUGGUCUGUUGUGGCUGCUUAAGCUUGAUCACAAGGUUUUUCUUGGGAACCGCCUUUUGAGCUUCUUGGUUCUUGUUUCUUGGAGCAAGAGGGUGUGGCUUCUUUUCGCAAUUGAUUGGCUUCUGGGCGUUGGCUAGCAGCUGAGCGCGGAAGCUUCGGGUGAUGGGACGGUUGAUCGGAGGCUGAGGCUUCCCUCCUUGAGCCACGGGAACGGAAACAAGGUUGUUUCCGAUGUCACCGAGCGGGCGGCGAUUCUUCACGGCGCCGUUCUUGUUAACACCUGAGAAGAAGAAACACAUAUGUUGAUAAUCUGAUCUUCGAUUCAUAACCACAAUCAAAUCAAUUCAGAUAUUUUCAAAACCCCGAUCGGAUCUAAAUCAAACGAAACCCAGAUUCGAUUUAAACUGCGAUGAAUU
rnacentral:lncRNA from 1 species